UGUGGCCUAAUUAUUUUUCCCGUUCACUGCAUCCAGUCCCCGCAGCUUCUUCCUUCCCUGAGCCGCCGCACUCACCAUCGAUCCCCAUCGCCACACACCAACUCCGCCCAGUGCCGGCUCCAUGGACCCCCACCCACACCGCACCUAGUGCUGCCGCCCCCUCCCCAUCAUCCAGUACUGCCUCGCCAAGCAUCCGCCCCCCCUCUCUUGUCGCUCCUCCUCUCCCCCGAUCUGGAUCUGGAGGGAGAGAGCCUCGUCGCCGCCCCGCCUUCCCUCUCCUCUACCCGCCGCUCGCCACCUCUCCUCCCUUCCAGCUGUGUGGUUGUGCCUGCCUCUUUGAGCUUCGGCCUCUCCCCAGCUGGCGAUGAGCACUCAUCUCCGAUGAGCCGCCGUGGCGUGCCAUCCUCCCCCUGCUUGAGUCAGAUCCGGCCACCCCGGCCUCGCAUCCGGCCACCACCACCCACCUGGAUCCCUCCUCGUCAUAGGACACCAUCAGCAGGUGGUGGUCGAAAACAUGCCGAGACCGCCGUCUCUGCAUCCACGUGUGGAGGUCGCCGUCGCUAGGACACCACCAACCCGAGGAGGAAGAGGUGCAGCACCCAAGCUCCGACCAGUGCUUCGUCCUCUGUCUCGUGGCUUCGACGAGUUGCCUCCCCCAGUGAUUUGCCUGCUCUGCAUGCGACUUGCCUCUUCUCCGAUCCGGAACCUUGUGCAACUAAUAUACUUGCCCGCCAUGAAAAAUCCUUCUCUCGGUUCGUGCAGUGUCAACUAUGUAGAACAUAUAUGGAUGUUGCAGUUUCAUGCGAGCUUUGUAAAGUUCACUGCAUAUACGGAUUUACAGCUCCUGAAUCCAAGGGAUCCACUCUAGUGUAUAAAGCAUCAGAUACUGAAUUGAUAUGUCAAGUAACUUCCACACGGUUUAAUUCCUUCCGUAUCAUUUGUACAGCUGAGUAAACAUCAUUGCAUCUACGGAUUUUUACAGUUUUCCAAGUGCUGGAUCUUUCUUGAGAGAUAUCACUAUAAAAACCAACUACUCAUUGAUUAUUUUGGAUCUCUUUCUGCCUUUUCAAGGCAUAAAAAAGAAAAGGUAGAUGCCCAUGUCUGGUAACAACUUCUGAGAAGGGGACUAUGAUUAGAGUAUAUACCGUGGCACAAGCAACUAAGUUACAUAGGUUUCAGUGGGAGCAUAUCCAUCAACAAUUUACUCGCUCGCAUUUCGGCCGUGCAUCGCCCAGCCUGAUGUUUUUGCUGCCAGAAGUUCAUCAGGCUCUUUGCACAUGUUUUUCCUUGACACAACCAGAAACGGAGGGUUGCAUUUCCUUCACAGUUGUUCUAAUUCGUGAACCACUUAUGUGGACAUAUUUUUUAUGUGCUUCACUUUUCAGAAGCCAAACGAAUAAAUUACUCGGUUCAGUAAUGUACAUGCCAAUUGACUUAAUUUUUUUUCAGGUUGGCAACGCGUGCUUCAAGGCUAGUGAUCUACUCACCUUGUGCAACCAUUUUCUUCACUCGGCUUGAAGACCAUAUAAGUUCAGUUUUGAAAUUAUAUUGUAUUGACCUAGAAAGGCUACAAAGUAAAGAUGCUAACUUAGAAUGAUCUUUUCAUGUGUACCCAGUGUGUUGCACAUAUCUGAUUUGUGGAAAUGAUCUGUUAUUAGGUUUGUAAUAUACAAAUGUGAAGCAUAUAUGUUGGAUGUUUUAUUGUUGGGCAUGAAUGGAUUUCAAUGCUAAGUUGAGAUAUCA